rnacentral:rRNA from 1 species
GACGAACGCUGGCGGCGUGCUUAACACAUGCAAGUCGAACGAUGAAGAAGAGACACGCGAACUUCGGUUCAAAUUUCACUUCGGAUUAGUGGCAGACGGGUGAGUAACGCGUGAGCAACCUACCUCUUACAAAGGGAUAGCAUAGGGAAACCGUGAUUAAUACCAUAUGACACAUUCAUAAGGCAUCUUAAGAAUGUUAAAGCUACGGCGGUAAGAGAUGGGCUCGCGUCCCAUUAGCUAGUUGGUGAGGUAACGGCCCACCAAGGCGACGAUGGGUAACCGGCCUGAGAGGGUGAACGGUCACAUUGGAACUGAGACACGGUCCAAACUCCUACGGGAGGCAGCAGUGGGGAAUAUUGCACAAUGGAGGGAACUCUGAUGCAGCGACGCCGCGUGAGCGAUGAAGGAAUUCGUUUCGUAAAGCUCUGUUCUAUGGGAAGAAAAGGACGGUACCAGAGGAGAAAGCCCCGGCUAAAUACGUG